AUUGAACGCUGGCGGCAGGCCUAACACAUGCAAGUCGAACGAGUGGCGGACGGGUGAGUAAUGUCUGGGAAACUGCCCGAUGGAGGGGGAUAACUACUGGAAACGGUAGCUAAUACCGCCUACCAUCGGAUGUGCCCAGAUGGGAUUAGCUAGUAGGUGGGGUAACGGCUCACCUAGGCGACGAUCCCUAGAUGGGCUGAGAGGAUGACCAGCCACACGGGAACGGAGAUACGGUCCAGACUCCUACGGGAGGCAGCAGUGGAGAGUAUUGCACAGGUGGCGCAAGACUGAUGCAGCCAUGCCGAGUGUAUGAAGAAGGCAUGGGUGUUGUAAAGUACUUUCAGCGAGGAGGCGGUACUCGCAGAAGAAGGACCGGCUAACUCCGUGCCAGCAGCCGCGGUAAUAC
rnacentral:rRNA from 1 species